rnacentral:lncRNA from 1 species
UCAGGUUGCUGAUGGUGAGAGUGAAAUCUGCCCCAGGUCCGCUGCCGCUGAACCUGGAUGGGACCCCAGGAGCCAGAGCAGCAGGAGCCCCAGGAGCUGAGCGGGGACCCUCAUGUCCAUGCUGUGUCCUGACUGGGACUGAGUCCUGCACAGGGUGUGACAGCCUAUGAAGAAGUUUUGAAGGCGGUGGGCUGUGCUCUGGGGACACGCAAAUCAGCCGUGGCUGUGCAGGCGAGGCGCAGCUGCAGGGCAGUCUCCUCUCAGUAACUCAGCACAGGACUGGCGUCCUCAGGUGUCCUGGUUCAAAAUGUGGCAGCACAGAUUUCUGUGAGAAGAUGCUUCUUUCUGGCAGCCAUCUGGCUGCAAAAGGCAUAUAAGGAAGAAUUGUAAAAUUUUGAAAUAGACUGAAGGACUAUGUGGAGUAAUUUAUUUCAUAGUUAGAUUGGGAUUAUGAAGGAGAAUAUCCUUUUUAUAGAGUAUACAUAGAAC